rnacentral:rRNA from 1 species
AUUGAACGCUGGCGGCAGGCUUAACACAUGCAAGUCGAGCGAGCGGCGGACGGGUGAGUAAUGUCUGGGGAACUGCCCGAUGGAGGGGGAUAACUACUGGAAACGGUGGCUAAUACCGCAUACUAUCGGAUGUGCCCAUAUGGGAUUAGCUAGUAGGUGGGGUAAAGGCUCACCUAGGCGACGAUCCCUAGCUGGUCUGAGAGGAUGAUCAGCCACACGGGGACUGAGACACGGCCCAGACUCCUACGGGAGGCAGCAGGGGGGAAGAUUGCACAAUGGGCGCAAGCCUGAUGCAGCCAUGCCGCGUGUGUGAAGAAGGCCUUAGGGUUGUAAAGUACUUUCAGCGGGGAGGCGUUACCCGCAGAAGAAGCACCGGCUAACUCCGUGCCAGCAGCCGCGGUAAUUC